GUGGUGAGUAUGGGGGAGGGGAACCACUCUACAGGCUUAAGAUUAGGUCUCACUCUUUUAGUGUGCCUGUGCCUCUGGACUGUAGACUUCUCAAAUGAAUCUUAGUUUUUUCUCCUCUCUUAGGUUGGGGAAGAUGGCUAGCAUGGGCUGGAGUUGGGUAUUUCUCUUUUCCCACGUGGAAGGUUAUUGAUGACUAGAGUUGGGUAUUUCCCUUCCCUCAGGUCAUUUAGGCUCUGAUAAUACUCCAGCAGGUUAGGCUCUGGUUAACUAGUUUCUCCUGAGCACAGGCCUUGUUAAGAAGAACAGAAGCACCUCUCUUGUGCUUCCAUCCCGAUUCAGGGUCUCAGCCUAUGCGUCCCAGCACACCAGAGUGCACUGGUGUAAACCAAAAUGGUUUCUCUUCCCCUUCUCCUGCCAGAAGCAUGAGGGGAUGUUUUUCCAAUAUUUACUGUGGAAACCUAGUCAAGCUCCUGGAAGUAAAACCCACAAUUGGUGGAGGCCCUUCUAUGACUGGGUCCCCACGGAGUUUUUAACUCCCGGAGUUAUUCACUCUGAGCCUCCAGGAAUCCAUCAAUUACAGUUCUGGUUUUUCUACCCUGGUGUUGGUUCCCAGGGCAGUUUCUGCUCAUUUGUCUCUGCUGUGAUCCCAGAAGAGUCAUUGAUCUCUUAAUCUGUUGUUAGGACGGAAUGGUGACUUCUAAGCUUCUUACUUGCAGAACUGGAAACCAGAGGGCUCACCUUACUUUUUAAAAGAACUUUAAGA
rnacentral:lncRNA from 1 species